AUUGAACGCUGGCGGCAGGCCUAACACAUGCAAGUCGAACGAGUGGCGGACGGGUGAGUAAUGUCUGGGACACUGCCUGAUGGAGGGGGAUAACUACUGGACACGGUCGCUAAUACCACAUAACAUCAUAUGCGCACAGAUGAGAUUCGCUUGUGGGUGGGGUAACGGCUCACCAAGGCGACGAUCCCUAGCUGGUCUGAGAGGAUGACCAGCCACACUGGAACUGAGACACGGUCCAGACUCCUACGGGAGGCAGCAGUGGGGAAUAUUGCACAAGGGGCGCAAGCCUGAUGCAGCCAUGCCGCGUGUAUGAAGAAGGCCUUCGGGUUGUAAAGUACUUUCAGCGGGGAGGCGUUACCCGCAGAAGAAGCACCGGCUAACUCCGUGCCAGCAGCCGCGGUAAUUC
rnacentral:rRNA from 1 species